AUGUAUGAUAAGACUAAUUUACCUCCUGGCAUUUUCACCUGCCGCUCACUUGAGGAGCUAAAUUUGCAGUGGGGUGGAGCUCCUUUUCGAGAUUAUGAGCAUAAGGGACUUGUGCUGCCUGACAUAAUCAAGCUUCCUUCUCUUAAAAAACUGACUCUACGCGAUGUGGAAGUGCAUGAGCUUCCUCUGGAGAGUUUCAUUGCCCGGAGCCCUGGCCUAGAAGACUUGCAUCUGAUAGACUCUGCAGUGUGUCUUGAGCACAUAAAAUCAAAAGCGCUAAAAAGGCUAACCAUUGAUGGUUCCAUGUAUGGACCAGAUAGAAUGACAAUUUCUGCUCCUAAUCUCAUUAGCUUUGAGUGCACCGGUUUUUCACUGGAAGAUAUUUCUUGGAGAGACCAGCCAUCGCUAGAGAGCGCACGCACAAAUACUUGUGGGCGUACAUUUGGUGGUGAAUCUAGGUUUACAGGAGUUCUUGUGCAUGCCAAAAAACUUGCACUAUUUGGUUGUGACAUGAAGGUUAUUUUGGAAAAUGAGCUGCCUACAUGUUCAGUGUUUGAGAACCUUGUAACUCUUGAAAUUGGCAAAUGGCACUUGACCAAGGACUUCUAUGUUUUGCUUCGCUUCCUCCAGCUUUCACCAAGACUAGAAGAGCUCGCUCUGAAGCAUAGACAGCUUGACGAAGCAGCAGAAACAGAAGGCAUGCCUACUGAUGGAAUGACCUUCCAGUGUCCAUUCCUUAAAAGUGUCAUCAUACAGUAUUCAGAGGGUGAUGAUGGAAUUGACAAGCUGGUGGAUGUCCUGGUAGCGAAUGGUGUCAGUUCGGACAAGAUAAGUGUAACUUCCUACGAAGAUAUCAAAAAGAGGGCCUUCGCUGAGAAUGCACGCUCCGAAGAGGAACGCCCGAAGCAGAAGAGGGCGAAGAAAAAUCCAGACUGGGAAGAUGAUGACUCCGACGAACAGAGUAACCCUGAUGAUCCUAGCAGUGACGAGUAUGAUCCUGAUGACUUUUGA
rnacentral:rRNA from 1 species